AUGGCUCGCACCCCGUUCAUUAGCAUUCAAAUGGUGAUUGGCAGGAGCCUGGCCUUCCUCUCUGCCGUCGUGUGCAUAUGCCUUUAUACCUCUCACACCCAGGACCCACUCCUGUCUGCCGUCGUGUGCAUAUGCCUUUAUACCUCUCACAGCCUGGCCUUCCUCUCUGCCGUCGUGUGCAUAGGCCUUUAUACCUCUCACACCCAGGACCCACUCCUCUCUGCCGUCGUGUGCAUAGGCCUUUAUACCUUUAACACCCAGGACCCACUCCUGUCUGCCGUCGUGUGCAUAUGCCUUUAUACCUCUCACACCCAGGACCAACUCCUCCCAGGUAGACCCCCAGAUGUUGCCCCUUCUUGGCAUACACGCGUGUGUGUGUGUGUGUGUGUGUGUGUGUGUGUGUGUGUGUGUGUGUGCCGUUUUUCCACAGGAAUGGCGUCACUCGUUGCAGCUCCGCCCAGCUCCACCCGUCGACCAAUCACAGCUUGGAUUUGCAUUUCCGUUCAUCAGGGCCGACUCGUCAGAGGGUGCGGUUUUUAAGUAAGUAAGUAAGUGAGCGCGCCAUAUAAAAAUAUUCGACAAAAAGUGGAGGCAAAGAACUCCACAACGCAAAGAGUAAUGUUAGUAUCCUCCAUUGAUAGCCCAGUAGCCAUACAUGUAUUUAGGCAUGUAUAACAUCAGCCCACACAGGAAACAUUUGGUUUAGUCUAAAAUGAAACCAACUUGUUUAGUUUCCAGACUAGUACUUUCUCUCUUUAGUCAAAGAUACCGGAGGCUGCUUUUGUUAAAUUGAUUCCAUUAUCUCUAAGCUUGAAUCCUUGCUAACAUUAAUGUUAGCUGUUUCUAAUUCUAUGUGGGCUUUCUUGCCAGCUUGCUAAUUAACAAUGUUAUUUAGCCAUGGAAUUCGUCGAGUGUGUACCACUUGUCACUAUGAGAGAAUACAUUUAUUUUUGUUAAUUUAAUUGUCUGCCAAAAACAAACUCACUGUGGUAGAAAUGUCGAUUGAGCAGUUGACCGUUUACUCUCGUUGUUUUUGUUGCUAUUCAAACUAUUCCAGAUCAAAAAGAAUCAACCGGAUCUGCUUCAUAGUGUGUCUUGAUAUAAAAAAAAUACAGACACACUAUGUCUAUCGCAAAAGACCCAGUAUCUUUGACGUCAUUUGGCACGUUUGGAGGCAGACCUGGCACCGUUUGGACUCGCCGGGUCCAAAAGCGCACCGCAGUUUGGCGCUGUUCGACUUGUAAUGGAAAUGCCAAUGGCCUCGGGGCACAGCCUGGCUCGACGCCACCAAAUAUGCCAAUCGAAAAACCUCAACCUAGAACCUCACAAAGUUGAGUAUUCUGUUUCACAAGGCCAACACAAAGAAACUACCACUACACUCUGUGUGUGUGUGUGUGUGUGUGUGUGUGUGUGUGUGUGUGUGUGUGUGUGUGUGUGGUGUGUGUGCAUGACCAUGAGUACGCAAGACCAUGUGUGUGUGUGUGUGUGUGUGUGUGUGUGUGUGUGUGUGUGUGUGUGUGUGCAUGACCAUGAGUACGCAAGACCAUGUGUGUGAGUGUGUGUGUGUGUGUGUGUGAGUGUGUGUGUUGUGUGUGUGUGUGUGUGUGUGUGUGUAUGGGCAUGCGUGUGCAUGUUGUUAUCUCCUGAACCGUUUGACUCUCUUGACUUCAGUGAGUCGGUAUUUUUUUUUUUCCUUUUUUUCUUUUCUCACAGCCAUCCCUGUCACGUCACCCCUCUGAAACCUUACCCUCCCACCUGUGACUUCAGCUAUAAGCAGAAAAACCAGUUUCAACCUCACGCGCUCGCUCGCCUUUAGACUGGACGGCAGCAAGCCUCCUUGCAAAAAUGUGUGCAGAGAAUGAGACCACGACCUUGUUUCUACAAGGUGAAAAUGUACUAGCAUUUGAAUUAUUUUGUGUGAACAAGUGCAGACAACACCGUGUGGACGUGGGGUAGAUAUCGUUACGGACACAUUUUCUAAUAAAAUAACAAACAUGUUUUUCA
rnacentral:lncRNA from 1 species